rnacentral:lncRNA from 1 species
AUAGUUUAUACUUGUUGUCUGUGUGAUACUUGUAUGUGCCUGGUAGGGAGGUGAGAGAGGGCGAGGUCCCGUAUCUCACCAAUAGCAGAGUGUGGAUGGUGUUCCACAUCUCAGUAGCAGCAGAGCAGGGGCGAGGCCCAAGUUAGGAAAGGAGUGAGGGUGGGCUGGGCCCGAACCUCACUAUCAGCAGGAGUAUGGACGAGGUUCCAUGACUCAUCAGUAGCAGAACUCGGGCGGGGCCCAGAGAUAGGCGAGGCCUUAGAGCAAGGGUUGUUAGUAUAUGUUUAGCUUAUGUAAUGUUAUGUGAUACGUUUAUGUGCUAUUAUAUGUUAGUGGGCGAGGCCCUGUGACAGGCGAGGCCUAAGUGAAACAGAUCUGUAUCCGAGCGAGGCUCGAAGCCAGGCGGGGCCUGGAGCGGCGGGGCCGUUGUAGCGGGCGAGGCCCGAAGUAGGGGGCGAGGCCCCGGAUAGCGGGCGUGGCCCAGUAUGUGCAGUAUGUGGUUAUGCAUGGUAUGUGGUAAGGUGGGGAACUCACUAAGCUUCGUGCUUACGGUUUUCAGUUUUGUUUUCAGGUACUUCCGGUAGCGGAGGGAGGAGCUCGGGGUGAUCGCAUGGCACACACCAUAGAUUAGUCAGCCUGGGAAUGUUUACUCUGAUAAUAAACAUGUGUUUUGAAAACCUAUACUCAGAUUAUGUUUUGGAAUGAUGUCUUUGGUUAAAGUAAUGUUUUAUUAAAAAGAAAUUUUUGGUCUUAAAUUUUGGGAUGUUACAAGUUGGUAUCAGAGCCUUGGUUUGAGGGAUUCGGGCAUACUCUCGGGUGUGCCUGAACUCAAACUGAGGGGUCGGAUGAAAAGUUUUCAAAAUGUGAAAAGACAGUUUUGUAAAAAGAAUUUUGAGAACGAAAAACAGUUUUAGAAAAGCAAAAAGAAUCUAGAAAGAAAAGAACUUUGAAAAGAGAAAAGAGGUGUGGUGCAUGCAAUCAACCGAGCUCAAGUAAGUACCCCAAAAUACCCAUACAAGUUUAUGUUAUGAUUAUCAGUUGAUAGAACAGCAUGCUAGAAUAGGACUAAGGAUCUAGGGAUGAUGCCUUAUGUGCCUGUUAUUUGUGCUUUUGAGCUGCAUGAUAGUGCUGAUUAGACAGUAGUAGGAUAGCCUGUUUAGGUUAUGCCUGAGUUUAUGAGUUUGUGUUGCAUGCUAGUUCAGAUUCUUGCUAUGUGGAUAUGAUUGCUUGAGUAUGUUGUGGUUAGAUUUUCCCCUUGUCCGAAUGCUGCUUGCUUUGUGCAUUAUGGGAUUUUGAGUGAUGGGAGUUAGCCAUUAGGUGGAUACGUCACGUCACAUGUGAUCAGGGUUGAAUAAUCUCAGAGUGCUGGAUUUGGCCCUAUUGCGCAGCUCUCGUUUGAGUCCAACCGUUGUAGGGACGAGUCUUUUACUUGAAGGAUUAUCUGAGCCUCGUCGCAUGUGAUGGUAUCCAGGUGAUGGCUAAUUGGCAUCACAAGGAGACCUUCAGCAGCUGAGGACUGGUUUGAGUUGAGUCAGAGGUUUCCCUAGGGUAAGCCUAGGAUGAGAUAGUGUUGGGAGCAGUAUUAGUGGAUAAGGGACCUGGUGGAGUCAAAGCAAUUCCUGAGGAAAGUACGGAUAGAUGUGGAAGGUAGUAUGGGCCCGUACUACUGAAAGCAGAGGAUCCGUACUCGAUUCGGGAAGGGCCGAGACAAGACCGGGAACCUGGUAGGGCAUGUUUGGUCUCGUAUCAGUGAUGAGUAUUCUGAUAGUGGUUGUGGUAUAUUUUCAGCAUGGUGACAUUGCGAGAGAGACCAGCGGGCGGAUCAGGCGCCGGAGAGGGAUCAGGCUCGGGUUCAGGGACCGAGCAGCUCGAGGAGCGGAUGAGAGAGUUGAUAUCAGCUGAGGUUACGCGCAGUAUUCUAGCUCAGACUCCUGUGAUCUUUGGCACGGUCAAGGAGGGCAUACUGGAGAUCUUGGAGGAGAGGCUGGGAGCCUUCCGUACUGAGAUGAUGGCAUUGAUGGGAGCGCGUACCUUGACAUUUCGAGAGUUCAGAGCCUGCGGGGCACCAGAUUAUCAUGGGGCUAGGGACCCCAUUGCUAGCAGCAGAUGGUUGGCUGAUGUUGCCAACGCUUUUCGUACGAGCAAGUGUCCCGAGGGGGACAAGGUUAGACUCGCCUCCUGUCUUCUGAAGGACAGAGCGAGGGAUUGGUGGGAGGAGAUUGGUCAUGCUUUGGGGGAUGAUGCCGCGUUGGACGCGAUGACUUGGAGCGAUUUCUCGGCCAGGUUCAGGGCGGAGUUUUCGCCGAUUAUUGAGGUGCAGCAGCUGGCACGAGAGUUUCAGGAUUUGACGCAGACUACUGAGACUGUGGCGGAGAUCACCGCCAAGUUCAGGGAGAGGGCUCUUCUUGUACCGCAGUAUGUAGCGGAUGAGGAGAUGAAGAAGGCUCGGUACCAUGAGAUGUUGAGGGACGACAUCAGGGAGUUCGUGAGCAGGUCCAGCUGUAAGACGCUGGAAGAUAUGAUUUCUCGGGCUAGGGAAAGGGAAAUUGAUUUGGAGCAGAUCCGGAAGAGGAAGCCGGAUGAGGUUCAGGUAUCAGCGGGUUCGGGCAAAAGGCCCAAGGGAUCGGAUUCGAGAUCGAGGGAUCGUCAGGACCGCAGUCGAUGCGGAAAGUGUGGCAGGGCGCACGGGGGCGCGUGCAGGAGUGGUAGCGGUGGUGAGUCUGGCUGCUUCAAGUGCGGUCGGACUGGUCAUUUUAGCAGGGAUUGUACUGUUACCGCCGCGCAGGGAUCAGACAUGAUAUGUUUUCAUUGCAACCAGCGGGGCCACAAGAAGGCCCAGUGCCCCAGUUUGUCUUCGGCAGGACGGGUGAUGGCCCCCGCCCCUGCAACUUUGAGGAUCGCAGAUGGCCGUCAGGGCCGGGUAGAGGCACCUGCAGCAGGGAGCAGGGCUUUCCAGAUGACGACUUUGGAGACGCGAGCAUCGCCGGAUGUUGCAGGUAUGCAAUUUCCAUUCUCAGUUCUUUUAUUUUGUGCAUGAUUUCAUUGUUAUGGUUCUGCAUCAUUAUCGGUAUGAGUAUUUUAUUUUGAUUGGUUGAUUGUGAUCGAGUUAUAUGCCAUCUGCAUACCUUGGAUAUUUGUAUGGUAGUUAGGGGGAUGUGCUCUAUUGAAGAAGGUUUCGAAGGAUGCAGUAACUGUAGCAUGCUUGGGAGGGAUUUGGUACGUUUCGCUAGUUCAGAGUGGUGCAGUGAUUGUGAUGGAUUGUCUAAAUCCCUAGCUAUGGCAGGCUUGGGUUCCUCAGUAGAUGGGUUAUGGAAUGGUAGUAAAGAUCGGGAUCUCUUUGAGUAUUGAGCAGCAAGGGGUAAGCAGGAUCGAAGUGGGGGAGAAUCCUCCGGGUGUGCCCAGAGAGGAGCACGCAGACCCAGAAUGAGUACGUGACCUCCGAGAGGGAAGAGAAGUAGUUCAGCGUUUGAUGGAUUGAGGAUUUCAGGGUUGGGAGUUUGAGAAACUCCACAUCAGCUAGUGCGUGUGAUGGUAAUGGUUAGUUAUGGUUGAGAAUUCAGGUUGUGGAUCGCCCGAAGGACUCGCGGGAGUCGGAAUAAGGAUCUUGAGAAGCUGAUGGCACGUGGGUGCCUUCGUAUUAGCAGUCAGUAGUGGAAGUGUUGUAAGACUACAGGGCAGCUGUAGCAUUCACUAGAGGUCAGCAAUGGAUGGUGAUGUAAGCCUAUGGGUAAGCCGUAGCAUUCCUUAGUAGUUCCGUUAGUGGAGUUGGGGCGAGGCCCUUAUCUCCUAGUGAUCAGGUAGGGAUCAAGAUUGAGUAGUGGAUGAGAAUGAUAGGGAGUUGCCUGUAUAGCUCUAGAGAGGUGAGACCUUGGGAGAGGCCGCUCCAGGAUAUAGUUGGGUGAGACCCGUGGGCGAGGCCCGUAUGAGAUUAGCAGUGUAGAUGAGACCUGGGAGCAGGGUUGCUCAGUAGUAUGGUUGGGUGAGACCCGUGGGCGAGGCCCGAGCGAGAGUGACUAGACUAGUGAGACUAGAAGGAUAGAGGCGGGUGGGACCCGUGGGCGAGGCCCGUGAGUUUUAGCAGCGCAGGUGGGACCUGGUAGGGACCUUAGUGUCAAGUUAGGGGAUCGGGGAUCCCAGGUUUGUAGUGCCUGGAUGGCAGGAUUGAUUGAGCAGUUAUAGGUGGUCGAGGUUUCUUUGGAAGUCGCUGAGAGCGACCAGUGAUGGUGUUGGGACUAGCUACCGGUGGGAGCCGGUAAUCCAGUCAUUGAUAGGUUGGUAGGGACCAGGGCGGUCCCAGUUUAUCAGGGAGUCAGACGAGGAAUAGCAGAAUUGCCAGUCGGUGGCAGUGCGAGUAUGCAGCGUAUGGUGGAAUUCAGUUAGUUGAGUCGAGGGGUGCUCGACACCAAGUGUUGGCAGAAAGGAGUGUCAGUGAGUACUGACGGUGAUGACCCGUUCUGGGAAUAGCGGGGGGGUGAUGGAGUUAGUGAAGGAUAGGACCUUCACAGUGUCAGAGGAAAAGUCGGUUAUGAGGCUUUGCCUUGGGAAGGCAAGGAAAUUGCGCAAGGAAAGUAGUGGAGAACCUCUGCGGGUUCAGUGCAGUACUCGGUGAGUACCAGAAGGAUUAUCGGUUGAGUAAGUUCUGUUUCUAAGUUGUUCAGGGUCAGGUUUGACCCGAGGUUUACCCGCGAGGUUGAUGUUAGUCAGAAUGACCAGGUGGAAGACCAGCGCAGGUAGGCGGCUGGUGUUGGGUAUUGGAGGCAGAUCGCAGGCGGUGGGCCAUGGUAAACUUCGAGGACGAAGUUCAGUUUAAGUGGGGGAGAGUUGUAACACCCAAGAUUUUGAAAGCCAAGAAAGUAAAGGAAACCCUAAAUUUAGGAGGGACUCGGCGAGUCCAAGGAAGGACUCGGCGAGUCGGAGCGGGAUCCGGGUCGAGGAGUAAGUGACCAACUCGGCGAGUCGGCCAAGUGGACUCGGCGAGUCUGGUCUGUGCGAGGAAAACCCUAAAUCCGGGGCUUGGAGCCUAUUUAAACGUCUCAAUCUUCUUCCUAGGGCUCCUUUACUGCCUCUCACACCCAGAACGCCGCACCCUAAGCCCCCAUUGUGAUGAUUUAUGCUUUUGGCCAUUUUUGAGUGAUUUAGAAGAAGAAGAAGAAGUGGGAAUCUUUGAAGCAUCAAGGAGUGGCUUUGGAUCUGAAGUUUGGGGAACAUUUCAGAGCAUUGGAAGGUAUCAAUUCGUUUCCCUCCUUUAGAUCUUCUUUGGUUAUGAGUUUUGGGGCUUUUAAGCCAUGCCUAAGAUCAAUUUCAAGCUUGAGGUCCAGAUCUGAGGUUGCUACCUCAGAUCCAUGCUUGUGUUGGUUUAGAAUCCCGUAAAGUAUCAGCCAUUGGGUGGAUUUUGGAGCCUCUUGGUCUUAAACCCUAGUUAUUGGUGCAUUUUGCCUAGAUCUCCCUCUCUACACGUAAAGUUUGCAACUUUACGUGGGGAAUAGGCUUGGGAAGGGUAGAUCUACAGUUUGGAGUUCAUGCAUGACUCGGAAGUCCUCUGCAUGUAAGUGGAUCUUAUUGGACUCGGCGAGUCCUUCGAGUGGACUCGGCGAGUAGCUUGAAGAUGAGGAGGAACUCGACGAGUGGGAUGAACAGCUCGUCGAGUCGGAUGAAGAUAGGCAUGAACUCGGCGAGUUGGAUGAACAACUCGGCGAGUUGGAUGAAGAUUGUCGUGUGCUCGGCGAGUCUGUUCUUAGACUCGGCGAGUCAGGUCGCGUGGUCCCAAACCCUUCGAGUUAAGUCUCGAGUCAGCGAGUCGAGCCAGGACUCAGUAAGUCGGACAGGACAGGAAUCGGGAAUCAGUAGACUCGGCGAGUCAGGGGCUGACUCGGCGAGUAGAGGCGCGAGUGGAAGGACUCUGGAAUUAUGAACUCGGCGAGUCAGUAGGGUGACUCGACGAGUAGGGUUGACCUGGAAGGUUGACUUUGACCAGGACGUUGACUUUGACCAGAGUUGACUUGGUUGACCUUUGAAGGUCAGUUAGACUAAGUGUUAUGUUGAUAUUGGUAGCUCGGGGAGCUAGCGGAGCAGCAGUUCGGAGUCAGUGGUCAGGUAGCGGUCAAAGGGGUUAGCAGCAGCAGUUCAGCAGUAUCAGGUGAGUUUCCCUUUGUAUGAAUGGGUCUACGGCCACAAUGCCGGCCCAUGUAGUUAUGAGUAGAAGACCCGGGGGUUAGCCCUAGGCACAGUAUGCUAGUAUGAUAUUCGGACGAGGUCCAAUGAUAGAGGGCGGGUGCCCAAGGAGUGGUUUAUGUGAUAGUUUAUACUUGUUGUCUGUGUGAUACUUGUAUGUGCCUGGUAGGGAGGUGAGUGUGGGCGAGGUCCCGUAUCUCACCAAUAGCAGAGUGUGGAUGGUGUUCCACAUCUCAGUAGCAGCAGAUCAGGGGUGAGGCCCAAGUUAGGGAAGGAGUGAGGGUGGGCUGGGCCCGUACCUCACUAUCAGCAGGAGUAUGGACGGGGUUCCAUGACUCAUCAGUAGCA